rnacentral:rRNA from 1 species
ACUCCUGCGGGAGGCAGCAGUAGGGAAUCUUCCACAAUGGGUGCAAACCUGAUGGAGCAAUGCCGCGUGAGUGAAGAAGGUCUUCGGAUCGUAAAGCUCUGUUGUUAGAGAAGAACACGUGCUGGGUAACUACUAGCGCCUUGACGGUAUCUAACCAGAAAGUCACGGCUAACUACGUGCCAGCAGCCGCGGUAAUACGUAGGUGACAAGCGUUGUCCGGAUUUAUUGGGCGUAAAGGGAGCGCAGGCGGUCUGUUUAGUCUAAUGUGAAAGCCCACGGCUUAACCGUGGAACGGCAUUGGAAACUGACAGACUUGAAUGUAGAAGAGGAAAAUGGAAUUCCAAGUGUAGCGGUGGAAUGCGUAGAUAUUUGGAGGAACACCAGUGGCGAAGGCGAUUUUCUGGUCUAACAUUGACGCUGAGGCUCGAAAGCGUGGGGAGCGAACAGGAUUAGAUACCCCAGUAGUCCC